rnacentral:lncRNA from 1 species
UAGAAAUAGUUGAUUAUAUAUAUUUGAAUUUUUAAAUUUUAAAUUUUCAAACUUAAAUUUUCAAAUUUUCAAAAUUUUAAUUUAAAAUAUAAAAUUUUAAAAUUUUAAAUUUUAAAUCAUAAUUUUAAUUUUUUAAAUUAUAAGUUUCAAAUUUUUAAUUUUUAAAAUUUAAAUUCUAAAUUUUUAACUUUAAUUUCAAAAUUUUAAAUUCUAAGUAUAAAAU